UACGUAGGGGGCGAGCGUUGUCCGGAUUUAUUGGGCGUAAAGAGCUCGUAGGCGGUUCGGUAAGUCGGUUGUGAAAACCCUGGGCUCAACCCAGUGAUUGCAUCCGAUACUGCCGUGACUUGAGUCUGGUAGGGGAUCACGGAAUUCCUGGUGUAGCGGUGAAAUGCGCAGAUAUCAGGAGGAACACCAGUGGCGAAGGCGGUGAUCUGGGCCAGUACUGACGCUGAGGAGCGAAAGCGUGGGGAGCAAACAGG
rnacentral:rRNA from 1 species